GACGAACGCUGGCGGCGUGCCUAACACAUGCAAGUCGAACGAAGCUCUGCGAUACAAGACUUCGGUCAAGUUGAACAGAUGACUUAGUGGCGGACGGGUGAGUAACGCGUGAGGAACCUGCCUUUCAAUGGGGGACAACAGUUGGAAACGACUGCUAAUACCGCAUAAUGUAUUCUGACCGCAUGAUCGGAAUACCAAAGAUUUAUUGCUGAAAGAUGGCCUCGCGUCUGAUUAGAUAGUUGGUGAGGUAACGGCUCACCAAGUCGACGAUCAGUAGCCGGACUGAGAGGUUGAACGGCCACAUUGGGACUGAGAUACGGCCCAGACUCCUACGGGAGGCAGCAGUGGGGAAUAUUGGGCAAUGGGGGAAACCCUGACCCAGCAACGCCGCGUGAAGGAAGAAGGUCUUCGGAUUGUAAACUUCUUUAUUAAGGACGAAGAAAGUGACGGUACUUAAUGAAUAAGCUCCGGCUAACUACGUG
rnacentral:rRNA from 1 species